GACAGAGGGUGCAAACGUUGCUCGGAAUCACUGGGCGUAAAGGGCGUGUAGGCGGGUAUAUAAGUCGGGCGUGAAAUCCCUAGGCUCAACCUAGGAACUGCACUCGAAACUGUUUAUCUUGAGUGCCGGAGAGGAAAGCGGAAUUCCUGGUGUAGAGGUGAAAUUCGUAGAUAUCAGGAGGAACACCAGUGGCGAAGGCGGCUUUCUGGACGGUAACUGACGCUGAGACGCGAAAGCGUGGGGAGCAAACAGG
rnacentral:rRNA from 1 species